CAUCUCCUUUGAUUGGUGUCCUUCCAUGAUGCAUGGUCUUUUGUCAUCCAAUAGUUUAAAAUAUGUUCAAUGUUGGUUAAAUUGGUCUUUUCUUAUUGCUUUUAUUGCAGUCGGUGCCCCUUAAUGUAGGACCAUAAGUUGAAUGAAUUAAAUUGGCCGAACAGUGUAGUGAAAAUGUCAGCAUAUAACAUUUUAAUACGUAUGCCACAAUUAUUAUUGGUGUCAACGUUGGCUGGUCUGAGUGGUGACCAAAACAAACACGAACUGUAAACUAGACUAUAUGUUAAUUCUUAUAUUUCAUCCAUCUUCCUGUCGCCCCAAAUCAUUGUGUAUGCUUAAUUUGAAAGUUUGAUUGCUUCAAUUUUUUUUCUCUUGCAUCCAUCUUUCUAUUUCAUAUAGGCUAGUGGUGGUUAUCACGUGUAAUAUGUUGUGAUCACUGCAGGCAGGUUGCAAGUUUCUUAUAUUUGCGCACCAUCAGCCAAUGAUAGAUGCGAUACAUGAGUGCCUUCUUGCAAGACCAUUUCAAUUUUACUCAUUUUUUUUUAUAUUGGAAAUUAUAGACACUUAAAAACUGUUGAAAUUUUCCAGAAGAAAAAAGUGGGUUGCAUCCGAUUGAUGGAGGUACACCCGGUGCAUGAAGCCAACAAUUGGUUAGGAUUUUAGGAAAAGGAUUAUAUCAAAGCGGCUGUGGUAUGGUGCUAUCCAUUAAAGCUGGGGGAGUUGGAUUAACUUUAACUGCUGCAAGCUUUGCAGAACAAUCCUGGACUCCAGGUGACCUGAUUCAGGUCAAAGAUCGUGCUCAUAGAAUUGGCCUGGUCUCAUCAGUAAAUAUAUACUAAUUGUUGGCAAAUGAUACGGUUCACGACAUCAUAUGGGAUGUAGUGCAAUUCAAACUGGAUAAUUUGGGGCAGAUGUUAGAUGGCCAUGAGAACACCUUAGUUGUGCCAAAUAAUCAGCCAUUGAGUAGCCCUGCAAAGCAUACUACUAUUGAGCAUAGCCCUUCAAGGCAGAGAACUCUUGACCAGUUUGUCAGAAGAUGUGAUAACGUGGACCGAAACGGCCCUGUCAGUCAUGACUUGCAAGAUAUGCAAAAUGGAUUUCCAUUUUCGCAGAUACGUGGCCAGGGGCAAGUGAAUAGGAACAUAAAUGUUUAUGUCUACAUGCAGAACCAGAUGUGCUUACAUGGGGAAUUCACCAUUGAUGACUCAAAUGCCUUUUGAAGCUGAAAUCCAUUGUACAACAAAUAAUAGAUUUUGAAUAGAACUGACUACACUAAACUAUGUUGCUUGUGGUGGAGAUAAUGGUUUGGUUAUGUGAAAUAUGUAUUGGAAGAAAAUGUUGAUAAAGUCACCCAUCAGAUUUUAGGUUUCCACUUCUUGUUCUUAACUUUUUGCUUCCCUGUCUUUUGUUUUAGUUUGGGGCUCUGUACAGAGUAGUAUAUUAUCAUAUAUGAAUGAGACUUGUAAAUUUCUUUA